GGAGAGCCUGGCCACUUGCAGUUCUACUGUCUCCAAAGUGACAAACAGCUAUACAGUUUGGAUAUUGUUCAGCAAGAGCACACGUCCAUCAAGCAGGCUGAAACCAAUCUGACUUGUCCAGAGUUGCGUUUAGUGCUGAAGGCAAGUGGUUAGCAACAGUAGAAGAGAGAGAAGAAACUGACCUAGAGUUACAGUUGAAGCUGUGGCUCUUUGAUGAGAAAACACAAAGCUUUAGACUGAAUACUAGAGUAAGCAUGCCUCAUGAGGAUCACGUAACGCCGAUGUGCUUCCGUGACAUGGAUGAAAUGGAAGAUGACUCUCUGAUGCUGGUAACAACUGGGAGAGACUGUGUGUUUAAGGUCUGGGUGAUACUAGAAGACGCUGAUCCGGAGGGUAAGUAAGGUCAGA